rnacentral:rRNA from 1 species
CGGACGGGUGAGUAACGCGUGAGCAACCUGCCUUUCAGAGGGGGAUAACGUUCGGAAACGAACGCUAAUACCGCAUGACAUUGUUGAGUCGCAUGACUUGAUAAUCAAAGGAGCAAUCCGCUGAAAGAUGGGCUCGCGUCCGAUUAGGUAGUUGGUGGGGCAACGGCCCACCAAGCCGACGAUCGGUAGCCGGACUGAGAGGUUGAACGGCCACAUUGGGACUGAGACACGGCCCAGACUCCUACGGGAGGCAGCAG